rnacentral:misc_RNA from 1 species
CUCUCUCCUCCGAGGUCGGGUUGCACGGCACUCGCGACGAACUCGCCACCUGCGACGCAAGCGUGCUUGCACGUUUCUUUGUGUGCGUGUGUGCUUGACUCCAAUAUUCUGUCUCACGGUGGGGUGUAUCGGCAAGCACAUCUAGCUCGCUCUUGGCGCUCUUUGACGACGAAAAGUGCGGAGCUGCAGACCAGCUCCGUGCUUGCUUCCAGCUCUCCGCUUGCGACGCAUCAACCUCUGCAUGAACUGCUCUGACACUCUGCUUCGCUUUGGUGUGUGCGUUCGAGUAUUGACUCUGCGCCGAACGGCCAAACGGAAACCAUGAGAGGCGUUGGUGAUGUGCGUAGCGGGACGGUGCCGGUGCGCGGGCUGCAGUACACCACCUCACCUUCUCUCCCCUCGGCAGUCAAGCUGACGCGUGACAUCAUGAUGAGGACGUCCUCAACGCUUCAGUGCGUUGCAGGCGAGACGGGAAGCUCCGCCAUGGGGUCCGCUACUACCCCUGCAGCACCGGCUCGCGCGAUCCCGUUUCCACAAGGCACCUUGCAGCUGUACGACUCCUACUACAAAUCUUGUCGGGACACCGAGCCGACUGUGCCAGAACCAGUGGUGGUGGUAGCCGUGCCGAGUGGACUGACUCUCUGACGCUGCCAGAUGACCUCUCCGGUAUCGGCCCCUCGGCGCGGCACCUGCUCCGCCUGGACGCCGCACAGCAGCACCCGCGAACCAACAAGAACGGGUCGAAGAAAGCGUCGCGCGCGCCGGUCGCUUUGCCAGUGGCGUCCCGCAUUCUUCCUGCGCAAACAUGCAGGUCGAGGGCAGCCGCCACGACUCCCGCGACGGGCGCGGCGGCGGCGCUUUCCGCUACGGCACACUUGCCGUUGCCAUCGCGAAAGUGCAUGGGCGACACCGAUAACGGCGCCCACGCCAGCACCGCUACCUUGCGUCAAGUGAGCCUCACCGCGAACGUUCGCCCUACCAUGCUGCUAUGCAAUAUUACCAACCCUGUCCACGGCGGUGGUGGCUGCGGCACCUCCACCGUUUCCGCCGCCGCAGCUCCACCGCCGCUGGUCACGCGGCUGCAGUCGUACAUCAAGCGUGAGCUCGUUCUGAACAGCGGCGGCACCGCCAUUCCAAGCGCGAUGGAUCAGCUGAACCCCUACCGCGAAGCUUUCCGCGCGUUGGGCUCCGCCUUUCCGGCGUACGGGUCUCUCUUCGACGACAUUCAGUGCGCGUACGACAACGUUAUUCAGGCGCAGGCGGAGCUGCUCACCGACGCCUACUCCGCCGUAGCUGCUCGGCACGUGGAGAAGAUGACGCAGCAAGAGAAUGCGGCCGCUUUGCAUCAGCAGGUGAGCGCGCUGCAGGUAGAGCUGAGCAAGAUGGAGACGGCGCUCAAGUCUCGUGCGUUAGCGGAGGAGCAGGAGCGGCAGCAGGCAACCAUGCAGUGCUCACGCACGUGCCGCACCAAUGACACGCUCGAGCUGCAGCGCGAGCUCAAGGCGGCCAAUCAGCGCGUCUCCGAGUUGGAGCGCGCGAGCCAAAUAGACCUGGAGAAGAUCCUGGUCCUCAUCGGUGCUGUGCGGGAGUGCGAUCGACGGCUGAAGGAGUACGAGCGGCUCGUGACGAGUGUGAUGGGGCAGGUCAGCGAGCUGGACGAGUUCAAGUGCAUUGCCGGUGAGGCCCAGGCCGAGCUGCAGCAGUUUCGCAAGAAGUACUCGGAGUACGUGCCGGCGUCGGACUUUUGCCUGAUGAGGGAGUACCUCACCUCCGAGCUACAGGCGGCCCAGCUGAUGACGCGGCGAUGGCGCCGCACUGCUGCGGUGCGCGGAACGCAGCUGGACGUUAUGCAGUGUCGCCUGAGCGCACUGGAAGAAGACCGGGAAGCCCUUGUCAAAGCAGCGGCUGCUGCCGCUGCUCAUCCUGCCGACGUGGAAGCGCAUGACUCCGAUACCGACACGGUGCUGACGCCACGCCCGUCGUGGAAGCGGCUCUACGAGCGGUACCCGGAACUGUCCGGCUAUGCAGCGGACGUUGGGCGUCUCACGACCGAGUUGGACCGAGACGCCGCCGACAUCGACCCCUUUGCGGACGAGGAGCGCAGUGCCGUCAGGAGGACCUCGACUUCCUCGACCUUGGCCCAGGAUAUGCCCGCGGUGAAAGGGCCUAAGGAGACCGGGCUGCAGGUGGAGUACCUCGUGCAGCGCAUCGUAGCACUGGAGGGGCUUCUGCGGACGCAGUGGCAGCAGCAGCAGCAGCAGCAACUGCAGCGCACCUCCACGACAGGCCUCGUGGAGAGAGGCGACGCGUCGACGGAUGCCGCGCGCGCGAAUUCCGAGAAAAGCUUGCAGGAGGCCAGCCUUGCAACGAAGGACGAGCCGACCGACUCCUCGGCACCGCUGCAGCACCGCAACUCUCGUCGCCCCCACGGUCUCGGGGACGCGCCCAUAACGCCGUCAGCGGCGCCAUCGUCGGGGCACCUGUACCGCGCAUGGCUCCACCACUGGAGCUGCCGCUGCUCGGGCUCGGGUACGCGCCGUGGGUUCCGCUGUGUUGGCGUGCAAGCGGCGUCCUGUGCCGUCGCUCUGUCGCCCCUUCCACGAUUAUGGCGCUGAUCUACCACUUCUUCCUCGAUGUGCUUCCUACGUACUUAGACAAAGAGGAUAAAGCGCAGCAGGCGCUUGAGCAGGACGGUGCCACGGCGCAGAGUAGUACCGACCGCCUCGCCCCGUUUCUCUACGAACUGCUGCAGUCGGAGAUGCAGACACGCGAGGAUCUGCACGCGUACGACUCUGUCGCUCACCUCAUGAUGAACCUCGAGAGAGACGGGCAGAUGCAGGAGUGGCACAGCGACGCCUUGCAUCUGUUCUUGUGGAUCGCGCAUGGGGUGAUGCCUCCACGCUUAGGUGUGGACGCUGUCGUCGUGGUGGCGCAGGUGAAGCGCGACGUCCGCGCCUUAGCGAAGGAGUUGCAGAGCUCCCGCUUGCGCCGUCAGGCGUUGGGCGAGUGCCUGCAGCCGGUGCUGGAGCUGAAGACGGUAGCCGAGCUAGCAGAACUGCGCGCCGCCCUGGGCGGAGAAACGACUUUCAGCGCGGAAGCGCUGUGCAGCGACACUCACCCGUUCAUGCAGGUGCUGCUGGUGCAAGAGUGUCGUGCGGGCAUGGAGCUCUAUGUGUCUUUCCUGCGUGCCUUGACUGCGCGGGCUUGCUUUAUGACUGUCGGUGGUGAUCGAGCCGCCCCUGCCCCCUCUGCGGGGGCGGCGUUGAAAGGCGCGCGUGACCCCAAAGCGCAACCAGCGCCACAACUCUCCGAAGGCGAUCGAGUGCUCUCCUUGUCAGACGUGUCUGCCGCCGUCUUGGAGGUGGAGCCGUGCACGCCGGAGGUGGUGCUGCGCGAGCUUUCCGUGAACGCGGUGAUCGGGGCCGUGCCGGUGCCAGGAGCGUCCGAGGAGCCGCCGGUGGUUGUUCGACUGAGUGACAUGGUGCGUGCCAUCGGUACUGCGCCGCUCAUCCGCCGCACAGUGCGCAGCGCCAAGAAUGACUGCGUGCUAUGAUUGCCGUAGUAGAUGCGCAAUGCAAGAGGGGCGCGGGGUAAGCGCGGGAGGGUGCACUGGAGGUCUUGCGGCGCCAGACAGUGUAUGCACCCCCAACACGCUGCGUAAGCCUUCCCUCCCUUUUUUCGGAACGGCACAGUGGAUGUCUUCUCGCGAUUUUCUUCGUUUUGUGCAUUCCUUGCUGUCAGCCUCACCGCCCGUGCUUGGCGAGUUGUGGGUGGGCAUGUGAGUGAGAGGCCCCCUGCGCCCCCGGGACGGUCUGUGGGGCGGUUGGUUCGUAGGUGUUUUGCUGUUGAUGUAUGAAUGUCGGAUCCAAGUGCGACAGGAGCACAUCAGGGAGGAGGGAAGGAAGGAAGGCCAGAAAUGAGAGAGGGAAAGAGGUAUACAGAUCCGUGUUGCGAUGCUUCUCUCCUGCUUUCUAGCUCUCAUGAUCGCGUGGUGACGGCGCUCUUUGCUCGCUUUUCGUUUCGUCUUGGCAUUACGCAUGGAGACGAACACCACUUUCUUGCAUCCGCGUGUGCCUCUCGCGAUGCCUCGUUAUCUUUCCUUCUUUCCAUCCGUGUGCUUGCCCUUCUCUGCUGUGUUAUUUGCCUCCUCCGCUUCGUCGGCGUUGGCGCACGUGCUUCUGCGCGUGCACGUUUUUGUAGAGGCAUGUGCCGAUUUCACCUCCUUGGAACUUUUCGAUGUGUGUACUUCGCCCCCCCCCCCAUACUUCAUCUCUGCUGCGCAAAAAUGCGGGCAACCCUCCCCUUGUCAAGAAAACAACAACUUAGAAGCAACAAGAACGAAAAGGCAAGGGUGAACGAGCCGCUUUCCUUUUCGUUUUUUUUUCCUUGUGCGCCUCGCCCCCUCUGAUUGAGUCACGCUGAAGAGGUUGUUGCAGACGCCACCAGUGCCCCCUCGUCCUCGUCCUCCGCCCAGCUUCCGUCAUGCCUGCUGCUUCUGGGUUCGUGCAACGAGUGUGUGGUGCGUGCGUGCAUGUGUGAACGCGACGUUCCGGUGAGACGCCGUCGCCGGCGUCUUGGCGACAUCUCUGCGCUAGCUAGCGCAUCCCUCUCUCUCUUUACAGACGCAGUUCUCUCCUUUCCUCUGCGCCCUCUUCGCCGCGUCUAAG